UUUAGCUGAUGUUUUUAGGAUUGACUUUGAGGGAUUUGCUGUUUCAGUUGGUUUAUGUUUUUUAUGUUUUUGUGUGUUUUGUGUUUGUAUGUAUGUGUGGUUGUACUGCUGCCUGUCUUGGCCAGGACACUCUUAAAAAAGAGAUUUCUGAUCUCAAUGAGACUCUUCCUGGUUAAAUCAAGGU